rnacentral:rRNA from 1 species
AAUCUUGAUGCUUCAUAUAACCAAAGCAUCCGCCUGAGAACUACGAGCACAAACGCUUAAAACUCUAAGGACUUGGCGGUGUCCCAAACCCACCUAGAGGAGCCUGUUCUAUAAUCGAUAACCCACGAUACACCCGACCACUUCUUGCCAAAACAGCCUACAUACCGCCGUCGCCAGCUCACCUCUUUUGAGAGCGCCACAGUGAGCACAAUCGCCCUAACCCCGCUAACAAGACAGGUCAAGGUAUAGCUCAUGAAGUGGAAGAAAUGGGCUACAUAUUCUAGCUUAGAAAACUCACGAAAAGGGGCAUGAAAUAGCCCCUAGAAGGCGGAUUUAGCAGUAAAGCGGGAUAACAUAAGCCCCCUUUAAGCCGGCCCUGGGGCACGUACACAC